rnacentral:hammerhead_ribozyme from 1 species
ACCCAGAUGACGAGUCCUAAAUAGGACGAAAUGUACGUUAUGCAGGAU